UUUCCGUAGGUGAACCUGCGGAAGGAUCAUUACCGAGUGAGGGCCCUCUGGGUCCAACCUCCCACCCGUGUUUAUUUUACCUUGUUGCUUCGGCGGGCCCGCCUUAACUGGCCGCCGGGGGGCUCACGCCCCCGGGCCCGCGCCCGCCGAAGACACCCUCGAACUCUGUCUGAAGAUUGAAGUCUGAGUGAAAAUAUAAAUUAUUUAAAACUUUCAACAACGGAUCUCUUGGUUCCGGCAUCGAUGAAGAACGCAGCGAAAUGCGAUACGUAAUGUGAAUUGCAAAUUCAGUGAAUCAUCGAGUCUUUGAACGCACAUUGCGCCCCCUGGUAUUCCGGGGGGCAUGCCUGUCCGAGCGUCAUUGCUGCCCUCAAGCCCGGCUUGUGUGUUGGGCCCCGUCCUCCGAUUUCCGGGGGACGGGCCCGAAAGGCAGCGGCGGCACCGCGUCCGGUCCUCGAGCGUAUGGGGCUUUGUCACCCGCUCUGUAGGCCCGGCCGGCGCUUGCCGAUCAACCCAAAUUUUUUAUCCAGGUUGACCUCGGAUCAGGAUAGGGAUACCCGCUGAACUUAAGCAUAUCAAUAAGCGGAGGAA
rnacentral:rRNA from 1 species